rnacentral:rRNA from 1 species
AGUCGAGCGGUACAGGUGUAGCAAUACAUGCUGACGAGCGGCGGACGGGUGAGUAACGCUUGGGAAUCUGCCUGUUAGUGGGGGACAACCCGGGGAAACUCGGGCUAAUACCGCAUACGCACUACGGUGGAAAGCCGGGGACCGCAAGGCCUGGCGCUAACAGAUGAGCCCAAGUCGGAUUAGCUAGUUGGUAGGGUAACGGCCUACCAAGGCGACGAUCCGUAACUGGUCUGAGAGGACGACCAGUCACACCGGAACUGAGACACGGUCCGGACUCCUACGGGAGGCAGCAGUGGGGAAUAUUGGACAAUGGGCGAAAGCCUGAUCCAGCGACGCCGCGUGGGUGAAGAAGGCCUGCGGGUUGUAAAGCCCUUUCGGUGGGGAAGAAAAGCCUCGAGCUAAUACCUCGGGGUCUUGACGUAACCCAUAGAAGAAGCACCGGCUAACUCUGUGCCAGCAGCCGCGGUAAUACAGAGGGUGCGAGCGUUAAUCGGAAUUACUGGGCGUAAAGCGCGCGUAGGCGGCUUUGCAAGUCGGGUGUGAAAUCCCCAGGCUUAACCUGGGAACUGCAUUCGAGACUGCAUUGCUAGAGUAUGGGAGAGGGAAGUGGAAUUUCCGGUGUAGCGGUGAAAUGCGUAGAUAUCGGAAGGAACAUCAGUGGCGAAAGCGACUUCCUGGACCAAUACUGACGCUCAUGUGCGAAAGCGUGGGGAGCAAACAGGAUUAGAUACCCUGGUAGUCCACGCCAUAAACGAUGAGAACUGGAUGUCGGGAGGGUCUGCCUCUCGGUGUCGUAGCUAACGCGUUAAGUUCUC